rnacentral:rRNA from 1 species
CCAGCUUGCUGGAUGCUGACGAGCGGCGGACGCGGUGAGUAAUGCAUAGGAAUCUGCCCGAUAGUGGGGGAUAACCUGGGGAAACCCAGGCUAAUACCGCAUACGUCCUACGGGAGAAAGGGGGCUCCGGCUCCCGCUAUGGGAUGAGCCUAUGUCGGAUUAGCUAGUUGGUGAGGUAACGGCUCACCAAGGCCACGAUCCGUAGCUGGUCUGAGAGGAUGAUCAGCCACAUCGGGACUGAGACACGGCCCGAACUCCUACGGGAGGCAGCAGUGGGGAAUAUUGGACAAUGGGGGAAACCCUGAUCCAGCCAUGCCGCGUGUGUGAAGAAGGCCCUCGGGUUGUAAAGCACUUUCAGCGAGGAAGAACGCCUAGCGGUUAAUACCCGCUAGGAAAGACAUCACUCGCAGAAGAAGCACCGGCUAAGUCCGUGCCAGCAGCCGCGGUAGAUACGGAGGGUGCAAGCGUUAAUCGGAGUUACUGGGGCGUAAAGCGCGCGUAGGUGGCUUGAUAACCCGGUUGUGAAAAGCCCCGGGCUCAACCUGGGGAACGGCAUCCGGAACUGUCGGGCUAGAGUGCAAGGAGAGGAAGGUAGAAUUCCCGGGUGUAUCGG